rnacentral:rRNA from 1 species
GGUUAAGCGACUAAGCGUACACGGUGGAUGCCCUGGCAGUCAGAGGCGAUGAAGGACGUGCUAAUCUGCGAUAAGCGUCGGUAAGGUGAUAUGAACCGUUAUAACCGGCGAUUUCCGAAUGGGGAAACCCAGUGUGUUUCGACACACUAUCAUUAACUGAAUCCAUAGGUUAAUGAGGCGAACCGGGGGAACUGAAACAUCUAAGUACCCCGAGGAAAAGAAAUCAACCGAGAUUCCCCCAGUAGCGGCGAGCGAACGGGGAGGAGCCCAGAGCCUGAAUCAGUGUGUGUGUUAGUGGAAGCGUCUGGAAAGGCGCGCGAUACAGGGUGACAGCCCCGUACACAAAAAUGCACAUACUGUGAGCUCGAUGAGUAGGGCGGGACACGUGGUAUCCUGUCUGAAUAUGGGGGGACCAUCCUCCAAGGCUAAAUACUCCUGACUGACCGAUAGUGAACCAGUACCGUGAGGGAAAGGCGAAAAGAACCCCGGCGAGGGGAGUGAAAAAGAACCUGAAACCGUGUACGUACAAGCAGUGGGAGCCUCUUUUAUGGGGUGACUGCGUACCUUUUGUAUAAUGGGUCAGCGACUUAUAUUCUGUAGCAAGGUUAACCGAAUAGGGGAGCCGAAGGGAAACCGAGUCUUAACUGGGCGUUAAGUUGCAGGGUAUAGACCCGAAACCCGGUGAUCUAGCCAUGGGCAGGUUGAAGGUUGGGUAACACUAACUGGAGGACCGAACCGACUAAUGUUGAAAAAUUAGCGGAUGACUUGUGGCUGGGGGUGAAAGGCCAAUCAAACCGGGAGAUAGCUGGUUCUCCCCGAAAGCUAUUUAGGUAGCGCCUCGUGAAUUCAUCUCCGGGGGUAGAGCACUGUUUCGGCAAGGGGGUCAUCCCGACUUACCAACCCGAUGCAAACUGCGAAUACCGGAGAAUGUUAUCACGGGAGACACACGGCGGGUGCUAACGUCCGUCGUGAAGAGGGAAACAACCCAGACCGCCAGCUAAGGUCCCAAAGUCAUGGUUAAGUGGGAAACGAUGUGGGAAGGCCCAGACAGCCAGGAUGUUGGCUUAGAAGCAGCCAUCAUUUAAAGAAAGCGUAAUAGCUCACUGGUCGAGUCGGCCUGCGCGGAAGAUGUAACGGGGCUAAACCAUGCACCGAAGCUGCGGCAGCGACACUAUGUGUUGUUGGGUAGGGGAGCGUUCUGUAAGCCUGUGAAGGUGUACUGUGAGGUAUGCUGGAGGUAUCAGAAGUGCGAAUGCUGACAUAAGUAACGAUAAAGCGGGUGAAAAGCCCGCUCGCCGGAAGACCAAGGGUUCCUGUCCAACGUUAAUCGGGGCAGGGUGAGUCGACCCCUAAGGCGAGGCCGAAAGGCGUAGUCGAUGGGAAACAGGUUAAUAUUCCUGUACUUGGUGUUACUGCGAAGGGGGGACGGAGAAGGCUAUGUUGGCCGGGCGACGGUUGUCCCGGUUUAAGCGUGUAGGCUGGUUUUCCAGGCAAAUCCGGAAAAUCAAGGCUGAGGCGUGAUGACGAGGCACUACGGUGCUGAAGCAACAAAUGCCCUGCUUCCAGGAAAAGCCUCUAAGCAUCAGGUAACAUCAAAUCGUACCCCAAACCGACACAGGUGGUCAGGUAGAGAAUACCAAGGCGCUUGAGAGAACUCGGGUGAAGGAACUAGGCAAAAUGGUGCCGUAACUUCGGGAGAAGGCACGCUGAUAUGUAGGUGAAGUCCCUCGCGGAUGGAGCUGAAAUCAGUCGAAGAUACCAGCUGGCUGCAACUGUUUAUUAAAAACACAGCACUGUGCAAACACGAAAGUGGACGUAUACGGUGUGACGCCUGCCCGGUGCCGGAAGGUUAAUUGAUGGGGUCAGCGCAAGCGAAGCUCUUGAUCGAAGCCCCGGUAAACGGCGGCCGUAACUAUAACGGUCCUAAGGUAGCGAAAUUCCUUGUCGGGUAAGUUCCGACCUGCACGAAUGGCGUAAUGAUGGCCAGGCUGUCUCCACCCGAGACUCAGUGAAAUUGAACUCGCUGUGAAGAUGCAGUGUACCCGCGGCAAGACGGAAAGACCCCGUGAACCUUUACUAUAGCUUGACACUGAACAUUGAGCCUUGAUGUGUAGGAUAGGUGGGAGGCUUAGAAGUGUGGACGCCAGUCUGCAUGGAGCCGACCUUGAAAUACCACCCUUUAAUGUUUGAUGUUCUAACGUUGACCCGUGAUCCGGGUUGCGGACAGUGUCUGGUGGGUAGUUUGACUGGGGCGGUCUCCUCCUAAAGAGUAACGGAGGAGCACGAAGGUUGGCUAAUCCUGGUCGGACAUCAGGAGGUUAGUGCAAUGGCAUAAGCCAGCUUGACUGCGAGCGUGACGGCGCGAGCAGGUGCGAAAGCAGGUCAUAGUGAUCCGGUGGUUCUGAAUGGAAGGGCCAUCGCUCAACGGAUAAAAGGUACUCCGGGGAUAACAGGCUGAUACCGCCCAAGAGUUCAUAUCGACGGCGGUGUUUGGCACCUCGAUGUCGGCUCAUCACAUCCUGGGGCUGAAGUAGGUCCCAAGGGUAUGGCUGUUCGCCAUUUAAAGUGGUACGCGAGCUGGGUUUAGAACGUCGUGAGACAGUUCGGUCCCUAUCUGCCGUGGGCGCUGGAGAACUGAGGGGGGGCUGCUCCUAGUACGAGAGGACCGGAGUGGACGCAUCACUGGUGUUCGGGUUGUCAUGCCAAUGGCACUGCCCGGUAGCUAAAUGCGGAAGAGAUAAGUGCUGAAAGCAUCUAAGCACGAAACUUGCCCCGAGAUGAGUUCUCCCUGACCCUUUAAGGGUCCUGAAGGAACGUUGAAGACGACGACGUUGAUAGGCCGGGUGUGUAAGCGCAGCGAUGCGUUGAGCUAACCGGUACUAAUGAACCGUGAGGCUUAACCUU